UGUAAUUUUGUUAUGUAUAUUUCUUGCAACAAAAUAAAACUUUUGUGGUGGUUUAAAUGUAACGAUUCUCCGCCAUUUGGAACAAAAACAACAACUGGAAGUGGAUUGCUUAAUCUUUAAAUUAAUGAACGAAAUAGAAUGUCAUGCUAUUUAUAUUAUAUAAUUUAAAAUUAUAAAAAGUUUUUCUUUUCAAUUUUGGUGAUAUUUGAUCAUCUUGUUCAUGAAAAUAAAUAGCUUUUGUUAAAAUAAAACGAGAUUACUUCCUGUAAAAAUGGCGGCCGCAUUGAAUGGAGUUACAAUUGUCAGCACAUUUGUGCUUGGACAAUACUUUUGUAGCAAUGACAUCUAAAAUUAACGAUGUAAAAGCAUAGAAUUUCUUGUGCUUUUUAUGGAUUUAAAUUAUUUACUUCGUAACCAAAUGGAUUAUGACGAAAUUUUCUUCAGCAAAUGGUAGGUGAAAAAGUAGGUCAUUAUGUAAAUUUGUGCAUUCUACUUUCGUUUUGAAUUGAACUUUGCAAAUUUGUUUUAAUAUUAUAUUAAAAUAUUAAUGAUUGUAGAAACGUUAAUUUGGUAUGAAUAGUUAAUAUGCACUUACAAUUUUAAUGAAUAGAAUUGUUGCUCAGUUAAUAAUUACGGAAGUGAUCUAACUAAGUGAAAAUAUUUGUCGAUUGUUGACAUCGUUGUUGUUGUCAUUUAAAACCGUGUACUGUCAUGUUCAUUGAAAUUUUCUAAUAGUAGAUAUUAAAAUAUCAUAAUAAAAUAAAGACAUAAAAACCCAAAACAUUUAUGCAGUUGACAUUUUUAUAAAUGGCUGAUUAUUUAGACUUUUUCCAAGAACAUUUUGCGGACGAAGACUCGGAGUUUUCAGACUCAGAUUUUGAAGGGUUUGAGGAAGAGGAUAUUGUGGAAAGGCAAGUUGAUUGACGAUAUCGAAUGGGAGGAGAUUGCUGUGGAGACGAACCGCUACGCUGAUCAGGUAUUCGCAGCGAAACAGCCAUUGCUACCUUAUUCAGGGUUUAAAAAAUGGAAACCUAUCACAGGUCGCGAGAUCAUGCGGUUCAUAGCCAUAAUCAUAGCCAUGGGCAUCGUCAACCAGACCAACAUCACAGAUUAUUGGUCAAGACACAGUUUCUGGAAAGACUAACAGCCAGACAUUUCCCUUCCAAGAUCCCCAAUGACAGAAAGUCAAAGUCUCUGCAAUGUGUUGUGUGCAAUCCUGCAGUUGCACAGAUGCUUGCCAGUCAGGGCCUUCCCAAAAAACAUAGACCAGGUCACGAAACUGCAUUUAAAUGUAGACAGUGUGAUUUGUCACUGUGUAUAGUUAAUGUAUUGAAUUGCCAUGAUAUGUAUUUGUAUUGCAAAUUAUGCUAUUAACUAUAGAUGAGUCUUAUACAAAUUAUAUCAUUUAAGUAGUACUAUGAUCGUCAUACUUUUAAAUUGUAGUUUUUAGUAGAUGUGUUGAUUUGAAACAUGGAUAUAUUUUUACUGCACAAACAAGUGCUAUUUAACUUUAAAAAAGCCAAAUGUAAGUAAUAUUAUCGAUUAUUACAAAGCUUCCAAAGUGUGUGUUGGAAGUAAAAUGUUGCCAUUACAAUUGUAUGUUUUAUUUUUCAUGAUUAAUUAUUUGGUGUCCUUUCAUAAUGCAAUAGCAGGCAAGUAUAACCAGGGCUUACCUGGCUGUCCCUUCAGGCUUCAUUUUAUAAUGUUUUCAACCUUGUUGCUUGAAAUUAGAUUUUAUAUAAAUAUAUGCAUAUAAAUAUAUAUAUAUUUAUAAUAUACAUGAUCGUGUUAUAGGAAA